rnacentral:rRNA from 1 species
UACGAACCGAGCGAACGUUGUUCGGAAUCACUGGGCUUAAAGGGCGCGUAGGCGGCUUGUCAAGUCAGGGGUGAAAUCUUUCGGCUCAACCGGAAAAGUGCCCUUGAUACUGACAGGCUUGAGGGAGGUAGGGGCAUGUGGAACUUCUGGUGGAGCGGUGAAAUGCGUUGAUAUCAGAAGGAACGCCGGUGGCGAAAGCGACGUGCUGGACCUCUUCUGACGCUGAGGCGCGAAAGCUAGGGGAGCAAACAGG